GAAGCGCGUUGGGCGGUCGCUCCAUAUUAUUGGGGAGGAAAGUCCGAACACCAAUGGGCAGCGAGCCGGAUAACGUCCGGGUCCCGAAUUUUCGGGAACGACAAGUGCAACAGAGAAGAGACCAGCCCUGAUUCGUUGGGGUGAUGGGUGAAACGGUGAGGUAAGAGCUCACCGGCGUCGUUGGUAACAAUGACGGCCAGGCAAACUCCUCGUGGUGCAAGGCCAAAUAGGGAAGCGAAAUCUCAGCAGCCCAGCUGAAAACGCGUUUUUGGACGCCGCAUCGCUUUCGGGUAGGCCGCUUGAGCGUGACGGUAACGUUACGCCCAGAUGAAUGAUCGCCGUCCCGGCUUGUCCGGGAUACAGGAUUCGGCUUAUAGACGCGCUUCACAC
rnacentral:RNase_P_RNA from 1 species